rnacentral:rRNA from 1 species
UACAGAGGGUGCAAGCGUUAAUCGGAGUUAUUGGGCGUAAAGGGCGCGUAGGUGGAAAUUUAAGUCGGAUGUGAAAUCCCUGGGCUUAACCUAGGAAUUGCAUUCGAUACUGAGUUUCUAGAGUGUAGUAGAGGAAAGUAGAAUUUCCGGUGUAGCGGUUAAAUGCGUAGAUAUCGGAAAGAAUACCAGUGGCGAAAGCGGCUUUCUGGACUAAUACUGACACUGAGGCGCGAGAGCGUGGGGAG